CCUACGGGAGGCAGCAGUGGGGAAUAUUGGACAAUGGGGGAAACCCUGAUCCAGCGACGCCGCGUGUGUGAAGAAGGCCUGCGGGUUGUAAAGCACUUUUAGUGGGGAUGAAAAGCUCAGGGCUAAUACCCCUGGGUCUUGACCUAACCCACAGAAAAAGCACCGGCUAACUCUGUGCCAGCAGCCGCGGUAAUACAGAGGGUGCAAGCGUUAAUCGGAAUUACUGGGCGUAAAGCGUGCGUAGACGGUCAUGUAAGUCGGGUGUGAAAGCCCCGGGCUCAACCUGGGAAUUGCAUUCGAGACUGCAUGGCUAGGGUGCGGAAGAGGGAAGCGGAAUUUCCGGUGUAGCGGUGAAAUGCGUAGAUAUCGGAAGGAACACCAGUGGCGAAAGCGGCUUCCUGGUCCAGCACCGACGUUCAGGCACGAAAGCGUGGGGAGCAAACAGGAUUAGAUACCCUGGUAGUCCACGCCAUAAACGAUGAGAACUAGACGUUGAAGGGGUAAGCCCUGCAGUGUCGUAGCUAACGCGCUAAGUUCUCCGCCUGGGGAGCACGGCCGCAAGGUUGAAACUCAAAGGAAUUGACGGAAGGGCGAAUUCG
rnacentral:rRNA from 1 species